rnacentral:rRNA from 1 species
AGCUGAUCCAGCCAUGCCGCGUGUGUGAAGAAGGUCUUCGGAUUGUAAAGCACUUUAAGUUGGGAGGAAGGGCAGUAAAUUAAUACUUUGCUGUUUUGACGUUACCGACAGAAUAAGCACCGGCUAACUCUGUGCCAGCAGCCGCGGUAAUA